rnacentral:rRNA from 1 species
UAAGGUAGCAUAAUUAUUUGCCUYUUAAUUGGAGGAUAGAAUGAAUGGAUAGACGUAAAAUUGACUGUCUCAGCCUUAUUUUAUUAAAUUUAAUUUCUAAGUGAAAAAGCUUUGAUUAUAAAAAAAGACAAGAAGACCCUGUAUGAAUUUUUUAAUUUAAAAGAGGAAAUACUUUUAUUUAAUUUUUUGUUGGGGCAACAAAGAAGGCAAAUAAUCCUUUUUUUAUUUUGGAUCUGUUGAGAUAAGUACCGAUUAAUAUCGAAAAAAAAAGUAAAUUACCUCAGGGAUAACAGCAUAAUUCUUUUAUAAAGUCCUUAUUUGUAGAAGAGAUUGUGACCUCGAUGUUGGACUAAGGUUACUCUUGGGUGCAGAAGCUCAAAGAAGUUAGACUGUUCGUCUAUUAAAUCCUUACAU